rnacentral:misc_RNA from 1 species
AAAAGUCGUAACAAGGUAACCGUAGGUGAACCUGCGGUUGGAUCAUUAAUAAAUUUAAAAAAAAUUGUGGAAUUUAAUUAUUUAGAGUUAAUAGCUUUACUUAAUUACUUUCCUCAAACAAUUUUGUGAACUGUUUUACUGUUAAUUAAACUUUUUUAUUUUGUCUUUAAAAAUUAUAUUUAAAAAAAUUAAAUUUUAAAACAACUUUUGACAACGGAUCUCUAGGCUCUCA